AACAGAACAGAGGCACAAACCUCGCCCUAUUCUACUCGUCCGUCGCUUACAUACAUAUUUCAAGGUUAGGGUUUCAAAAUCCCCGCCAUUUUCUCCUCUCUUAUAGUUUCUCUCUUCCUCCCUACGGCUGAAGCUCUUAUGGCGUCGAUGGCGGUGGAAGUAGACGAAAAGAAAAUCACUUCAGCGGCCACGAAACGGAGCCCGGACGCCAACGACGCUGUCUCGGGGAACAAUAACCCCAAUGACGCUUCUCCUCCUCAACCGAAAGUGUCGCUGAACCCCAAGGAUUUCAUCAUCUCGGUCGCUUCGAACAUCGCUUCUCAGCCAUUACAGAACUACGAGCCCAAUGUCUGGGGAGUCCUCACCGCGAUUUCCAGCAACGCUCGCAAACGCCGGCAGCAGGGCAUAAAUAUACUUUUGACUUGUGAUGAGCAUUGCAUUGGGCGGAUGGUGGGUGACGCAAGUUUUAGGAUCGAGUCAGGCUCAGUGAGUGCAAAUCACUGUAGGAUUUAUCGUAAGAAUGUAAUGAGCAACGACCAGGCUGAUUCAUCGAGCUGUAUGGUAUCUGUCUUUCUGAAAGACACCAGCACAAAUGGCACCUAUCUCAACUGGGAAAGGUUGAGAAAGAACAACUCUGGAGUUAGGAUCCAGCACGGUGACAUCAUAUCAUUGGCUUCUCCUCCGGAACAUGAUAUGGCGUUUGCAUUUGUGUAUCGGGAAGUGCUUGUAUCUAAUCCCAUGCUGGAAAGCGUGAACAGAAAAAGAAAAACAGAGGAUUUUGCCUGUGAAAGCAAGAGGCCAAAGGGCAUAGGAAUCGGUGGUCCGGAUGGUCCAAUAUCUCUUGAUGAUUUCAAGAGCCUCCAGCGGUCAAAUACGGAUCUGAGGAAGCAAUUAGAAGUGCAUGUGCUUACAAUCGACACACUUCGUAGCGAGUCUCGUGCAAUAGUUGAGCAUCAUGAGAACGAAAUAAAGGAAAUCAAAGAAACAGUUGCAAAAUCAUUUCAGGAUGAACUGAGUGAGCUGCGUAAUCUGUUAGAUGCUAAGCAGAAGGAGCUGGCCCAGGUCUGUAAAUUAUCAGCUGAACAAAAGCAUUCCAUGGAUGACCUUGGUGAGAGACUUAGCGCUUCUAUGCAAUCUUUCAGUGAAGCAAAUGAGAUAAUUAAAAGUCAAAAGGCUGCUAUCAUUGAACUCAAGACACAAUUAGAUGAUGAGCGAGAUCAAAGAAGAGAAGAACGUGAAAAUGCUGCUGCUGAAGUAAAGGCUGUGAUUCAUAAAUGCCAAACCGAGGCUCAAGAGGAAUUGAAGCGAUUUUCUGAUGCCGCUGUCAGACGAGAAAGGGAACAACAAGAAGUGAUCAACAAAUUAAAGGAAUCAGAGAGAGAAAGGUCUUUGCAAGUGGAAACUGUGAUGUCAAAAUUGGAAGAUACUAGACAGAAGUUGGUUUUCACUGACAACAGAGUUCGUCAGCUAGAAGCUCAGGUCUCUGAAGAGCAGCUGGCUUCUGCAAAUGCAAGAAAAAGAGUGGAAGAACUUGAACUUGAAAUGAAAAGACUGCAAAAGGUGCUGGAGAGUGAAAAGCAGGCAGCCCGAGAAGAAGCAUGGGCAAAAGUGUCUGCCUUAGAACUGGAGAUAAGUGCUGCUAUGCGAGACCUCGAUGUUGAAAGACAAAGGUUACGAGGUGCAAGGGAAAGAAUUAUGCUCCGUGAAACUCAAUUGCGGGCAUUUUAUUCUACGACCGCGGAGAUAUCAAUUCUGUUUGCAAAGCAGCAGGAACAGCUCAAAGCCAUGCAGAGAACUUUGGAAGAUGAGGAGAAUUGUGAUAAUACGUCUGUUGAUAUCGAUCUCAAUCCAGUAACUAGAAAUGCCAACACAGCUGGUACUGAGGAAAAUGAAAGAGCAACUUGGCAUGCCAAUGGUGCUGCAAAAGCAAGCUCCUCCACUUCAGGGCAGAGAUUUAACAGAAACGAAACAGUGGAUACUUCUACUGAAGACGCAGGUGCUACUGAGAAGCAUGACUGUGAAAUCAUGAGCCAGGAAGGACAGAAUACUCAAGAAGCAGAAUACACAAGCACUGAGCGCAUUGCCAAGGGUGGGUUUGGCUCAGAUAUUGAAGGUGUUGGUACCGCCCCGAUUUUGGAUUCAGACGUUGUGGGAACCGAACAAGUUAAUGAAACUCAGAGUCCAGGAAAUGAUUACGAGAGAAAUGUUAACCUGAGCAAGUCAAACAUUUUGUCUGGUGAUGCAGUGCAGAUGGAUUAUGAAACUCAGGCACAUGAAAGUGGUCAGCACGAUCAUCCUGUUCCUCUGUUACCAUUGAGGAGUCGAGCAGAUGAUCAAAUGGAUAUGGAAGACACGGAGGGGGUAGGUACUAUAAGAACAGUCGAUCUUUUAGCUUCUGAAGUUGCUGGAAGCUGGGCUUGUAGCACAACUCCUUCUGUACAUGGAGAGAAUGAAACCCAAAGAAGUAGAGAGGAUGGGGAGAGUCAGACUCAAAGGGUAAAGGAAGUGGCUAUACUACAUGAUUCUGCAGGUCUGGUUGCUGAAAGUCAAAGUAAACCUUCUUCUUCUGAGGUUGUGGCUGUUGUCGGAAGGAAGGAUAAUGGUCGUAGAGCUCUGAGCGAGAUGAUAGGGAUUGUUGCUCCGGAUCUGAAAGACCAGUUUGUCCACACUGGAAAUGAUCAAGGGAAGGGAGAAUGUGAUUCUGUUUCAGACUCCGAUACCAAGAGCUGUUCUGAUUCUGAUGAUGAUGGUGACGCUGAUGAUCGAGGGAAGGAAAAACACGGUUCUGUCUCGGAUACAGACAACAACGAGGCAUUGCAGUCCUCUGAUUCCGAGACGGAAGGAAGUGAUGGAGUUGUGAGAGAGGUUGAUACAAUGGAUGAAGACGAUGGAGCCACUUAGCAACAUUCUCUUUAGACUUGCAGGUGAGACUUGAGCUGUGCAAGGGCGGUGGCAGAGAUACCCUAGUUCCUUGCUAGUAAACAUUGUUUGAUGAUUCAUGGCUCGCUCGCCUGUUUUUCCAUUGGAAGUCAAUGUGUUAAUCUGGCUCAGGACAUAUACCGAGAUGGGUAUAGUAAGAGAUACUGUGAAGGGGAUAAGGCAGAUUAUCAAAAUCAUGAACAUGAUUGUGAUUUGGACCACUUAGGGUUUUGAUGCUGAGAGGAGCGUGGAACAAUCAUGCAUCAUUGAAGCGGUGAGAAACUCAGAGAUCCACUACCAAGCUGGGAGUGGAGAGUGAUGAAAGAAUCGGAUCUUUUAUAUUCAAGUUCAGCCAUGGAUCUUAUUGGAAUUCCUACCGGGUUUUUUUUUUGUGGGAGGGGGGGUGUUUUUCUAUGUGACGGGCUUUUGGAAAUAAAAGGGAUAAUAUAUACAUAUAUGUGUGUGUGUAUACUAAAGAAUGGAGUUAUGAGGGAGAAAUGGGGUAGGAAUUGGCGUAUGUGAAAGGGGGAAACAUGUGAGGAGGGGUUUGAACAAAUCAGCCCACAAUUUCUAAUAUCAUCAUUACUAAGGAUGAAGAGAGAGAGAGAGGUAUGAUGAUUGAAGAAGAAAGAAGAAGAAGAAGAAGAUGCCAAAUCGGUGUUUCAUUUUCCGAAUAAAUGAGGAUUGGCUUUUGGUACUCAAUUGCACUCCAAUCAGUCACAACUCCUUCAAACAAAAAAUCAAUAGCAAUAAUCUCUAUGAGGAAUGUCACCCUCCACUCCCCUUUUUCACUUGGUUCAUGAUUCUAAUCACGUGCCAGCCCACGUGCCAUCGCCCACCUUUAUUCUUUCUUUUGUUUGUUUUUAUUUUUAUGAAAUCCGGCUGUUAUCAGCCUUGGAGGGAAAUUUCCCACACACUAACCCCAGUUUUCGGCCUAACCUUGGAAAAAGGGAAUGUGAGAUAAGACCAUCUUGAACGCUGGGCUCUUUGUUUCUUCUUACCAAGUCCGAGGUUCACACGGUCUCCUUCUGAAAAUGGAAACCCGACUACUACCUUUCUUCCGUGUAGCCAUUGGACUU